UGGGGAAUAUUGGACAAUGGGCGAAAGCCUGAUCCAGCCAUGCCGCGUGUGUGAAGAAGGUCUUCGGAUUGUAAAGCACUUUAAGUUGGGAGGAAGGGCUGUCGGCUAAUACCCUGCAGUUUUGACGUUACCAACAGAAUAAAGCACCGGCUAACUUCGUGCC
rnacentral:rRNA from 1 species